GUCUUGCUCUGUCUCCCUGGGCUGGAGUGCAGUGGCACAAUCGUGGCUUACUGCAACCUCUGCCUCCCAGGUUCAAGUGAUUCUCCUGCCUCAGCCUCCCAAGUAGCUGGGAUUACAGAUGCACGCCACCACGCCUCGCUAAUUUUUGUAUUUUUAGUGGAGACGGGUUUCGCCAUGUUGGCCAGGCUGGUCUCGAACUCCUGACCUCAGAUGAUCCACCUGCCUCGGCCUCCCAAAGUGCUGGGAUUGCAGGCAUGAGCCACCACGCCCAGCCUGUCAUUUUUAAAUGGAUGCUGGACGUUGUAAAUGACAGAUGGUAGAAGCUGGUGCUGAUGUUUCUUCACAGGGCUGUGUUUUCUUUUGGCAGGGUCCAGCGUAACAGCAGCCCAGUGAGACCCUACCAGGGUUUUGUUUUGGAGUGAUGACGGCUUCCGUUCUGUCCUCCCCACAGGAGUGUUGCCCUAGCUCCUGGUGGGUGGCCCUUCUGGUGUCUUCAUUAGAAGCCCAAGGUGUUUCCUUUUAAUAUGUAUUUUUUUAGAGAUGGGGUCUUGCUGUGUUGCCCAGGCUGGUCUCAAACUCCUGGCCCCUAGCAGUUCUGCCUCAGCCUGCCAAAGUGCUGGGAUUGCAGGUGUGAGCCAGCACGCCCGGCCCCCAGGGUGUUCGACAAGGCCCCCUACCCCGCCAGCCUCCAUCUCCAUUGCCUGCUCCCAGCACUGCGCACUGUGGAGAUCUGCUCAGCCUUCAGCCUCCUGGCAACUGUUUGCGGCUGGCUUUUUUUUUUUUAGACGGAGUCUUGCUUUCUCGCCCAGGCUGGAGUGCAAUGGCACCAUCUUGGCUCACUGCAACCUCCAUCUCCCAGGUUCAAGCGAUUCGCCUGCCUCAGCCUCCCAAGUAGCUGGGAUUACAGGUGCCUGCCACCAUACCUGGCUAAUUUUUGUGUUUUUAGUAGAGAUGGGGUUUCACCAUGUCGGCCAGGUUGGUCCUGAACUCCUGACCUCAGGUGAUCCACCCGCCCGGCCUCCCAAGGUGCUGUAAUGACGUGUGAGCCACCACGCGGCCUUGCUGCCGGGUUUCUUGAUGUCUUGCCCUGCACGUGUGCUCCUGAGGCAGCAGCCAACGGCUUGACUUCUCUGGCCACUGAGGCCACAACUGGGCACUCCCUGCUUUCUCUCCAUCUCUCACAUCCACGGUCCCCCAGCAGCCAGCAGGGCCUCCCCACGGGGAAAUCGGCACACACGUCCAUUGCAUUUGGGUUUGGGGGGAGGUGUUGAGUUAGUUAGGGUCUUGCUCUUGCCCAGGGGGGAGGGCAGUGGUGCAUCACUGCUCACUGCAGUCUCGACCUCCCGGGCUUCAGUGUGGCCUGUGGGUACUUAAGGAGGGUCUCGCAGCACUGGCGACCAGACCCGGGGUUCAGGGCCCCUCUCGGCGCACGACAUCCCUCGCCCACUGCAGCCCGGAUGACAGGGCAGAGAGUGAAGGGGAGCAAAGCAGUGUGCGCUCAAGGCAGGUGCAUUUGUUUCUUUAUUUAAAAAAAUCAUCUGGGGGCAUGGUCUGAGGAGGACACCCCUCCCAUGGCUUUGGGGAGGACGCAGGUUCCAGGAGUCACAGGGCAGAAACACGC
rnacentral:lncRNA from 1 species